rnacentral:lncRNA from 1 species
CAGGUGGUGAGCAUCACAUAUGGCAGUAUCCCAGUGGGGUGAGCUCUGCGGCACAGUUGAGAGUCUGGCUUUCAGUCAGACUGGUUUCCAAUCUCACCCUCAGAGGGCAUCAGCUGUAUGCCCCUGGGCAGGGUACUUCCCUUCUCUGAGCCUCAUUUAAAUGGGGAUCAUAAAGGGACCUGUCAAUUCAGGUGUGGGGGAACUUGUCUAAACCACCAGGCCCUGGGGGAUGAGAGCAGCUGGUAUUGGGCUGUGCCUGCUGGGGGAUGGGAGCAGUAGCUCUCAGGCACCCCUCAACGCCCCGCAGUCUCUGGGCUGGGGGUGAGUUUUGGUGCCUCACCCUGCUGGGGGAAGAGCCCUGGGGAUGCACCGUCAGGGGCUGUCCAAGCAGCCACUGUGGAGUGUGCCCCAGCUGGAGGACAGGGGGGAUGGAAAUGCUGCCUUGAAGAUGGGGGACACCGUCUGGUGACCCUGCGGGUGGCUGGGAGGAUCAGGGUGCUAGGCCACUCUGCCCUGGCACUGGGUCUCAGGGAACAGAGGGCAGAGAGACGCAGGGGUCAGGCCCAGAAGGAAGGUGGCCUCAGGUAUCUUUCCUCUGGCAGCAGGGCUCCUUGAAUGCUGCAGUCUGAGCCUGACCCUGGGCUGGGGGAGUCCCGGGACUCCAGCCAGUGCCCAGUGGGCUCAGCCAUGCUUCCCCUGCCAGAAGAACUCUCCCUCCCAGGUACCCCGGCUAGCAGUAACCACUGCUCCAAGGUGAAGACUUGACAGAAGCGCUUCUAACUCCUCCACGAGGUUCCCACUGGACUAGGGAGCGAGGGAAGCCCAGAGAAGGGGCCAUGAGGCUAUGGCGUGGACCAUGAUGUUACAGCAGUCCUUUUAUCCUAGGGAGAGCUCAGCCAGCCUCGUCCCAGACCACAGCUUCCAUGUCUGCCUCAUUGGGGUCCUGUGCAAAGACCUGCCAUGGACAUUUCCAGUUUCCCAGGGAUUUACCAUUAAGGAUUCUGCCAUCACAGACCCCCCUUGCAAGGAGUGUGCUCGUGAGCAACGAGACCGCUGAGCAGAGUGUCUCGGUCCCUCUGAGUGUGCGUCUGUGUACUAGGGUUAUUGGUGCUCUGUGACUCUGGGCAAGAAUUUCAACUCCCCUGGGCCUCAGCUCCUCGUCUGUAAAACAGGGGUAAAUAAUUGGGCAAAUCUCCCAGGAUCAUGAGAAUUAAGUUAAAUGAGGGAGUGCUGGGAAGCCGAGCUCAGCCGGUGUCUGGCGCAGAGCAAGAGCAGAAGGGUGCUGUUCCCCAGGUUUCUGUCCUUGUCAGUAGUGUCAUCUGCCUGGUCUGGCUAGGAUCCUGCAGCCAGCAACCACCCAGGUCCUAAAGGUGGGAGCUUUGCUGAGAAGCGUGCCUGGGCCUGGUCUCUGGUUCAGGGCAACUGGAGGCUUGGAUCUCCCCUCUGGGUUAGCAUGAGGUGACUCAACCCAUGUCAUGUGGCAAAAAACCCUUCCACACCCUCAGGUUCUCAUGAAUCCAGCCUUAGGUGGAGGUGGAGGCCCUCAGCCGGAUUCAAAAAAGGACCCGUUCGGUGUGGAAGCCUCCCAGGGGCUGGGGUGGUGGGGCUGGCACCCAUCCGAUAGCCUGUGGGCUCCUUUCUGAGUGAUGAUCUUUUUCCCUGGCUCCCUCCCCAGGCCUCAGGGACUCUUCCUUUUACACACACCUGUUCCUUCCCAGGAUGGCCCAGGCUAAAGCGGACCCAGAAGCUCCUCAAUGCUGAUCAUGGCCAGAAAGGUCCCAGGCCCCUUAAAGGCCCCCAUUCCUCCACUGCCUGCCAGAUGAAUUCCAAGGCUCUGCAAGGUGCCCCUUCCCACCAUUCAUCUGGAAAAUACUUUCCAGAAAAGCUCCCAACUGCUUCUGGGUUAUGUCCACUGCCCUGGACAUUGGGGCAGAGAAGAAAGCCAGGGUUCAUCCCCAAGACUGGCCCUAGCCUCCUUCAAUACCUGAACACUCCAGCCCUUAGAGGCCCUGACAGCAAGGACUGCAGAAGUCUCCACCACAGGGCAAUGAUGAGUCUGACUCCCAGUCCAGGCUGAGGGGCUCCUCACUCCUUCACCCUCCUCCUCCCUGUCUCUGUGAUCCAAGGCCUGGGCUCUUCUUGACUCCCACAGGUGGCACUGUCAUUGAUGGUUCUUCCUGAGAGUCCAACAGAUGAUGGACAGAUGUGUCCCAGGGAGCUGUCAGGACCAGUGUGUGAGGCCCUAAAGAUGGGCCAGACCAACCUCAGGGGCUCAGAAAGGGGAAAUGUUGUAUUAUUUGUUCCCAUGUAUUUGCUCAGUAUUGAGUUAUUAAUCUGUUCAGAAAGAUUUAUUGAGUCUUACUCGAUAAAUAAGAGGUGGGGUGGCCAGAUCAGCCCAGGGUCUUCUGACAGUUUGGGGGUGACAGCUUUUAGCCGUUUUCUCCCUGGGGAUUUGUUAUGGCCUCUGCUGGGCACCCGAGGCCCCUCUGGGCAGACAGUGCUGUUCACGGGUCAGCUGAGGCUCUGAAUGCAGCU